CCCUGCGUCCCGCCCCGCGCACAGCCGCGCGCGCCCCCCUGCUGGCCGGGCAUCUCCGAGCGUGCGGGGCCGCGCGACGCUCCCCCCAACACACACACACCCCGCGCGCCCCCGCUGCGGCGGCGGGACCGGCCCCCUGGCUCCGGCGAGCGGGCGCGGAGAACCCCAGUGAGCACUCAGCGAGGUGUCCACAGGGGCCCUGGAACAUUUGGAUACAUAAAGAAACUGUUUUUAUCUCCUUGGCCAAAAUGAUCAGUCCCUGGAAUAAGCAGAGCAUGCUGCCAGCUCGUUUUCCUCUGACUUUGACAGCCAAGGACACAGCUGCUGCCACAUCCUAGGAGUCUGAUUUCUCAAACACAUCUUGCAACUUGCUAUUUCUAGUUUCCUGGCAUGGGUUUAGCCUGGCUCCUGCACAUAGUGGGCAGGAUGCAACAGUCAACAAAAAUACCACUAAGGAAGCAUG